GCCUUCAGUCAUACCGUCCUGUGAGAGCUUGAUCCUGUCUGAUCUCAGAAGAUAAACAGAUGAACUCGGUCAGUAUUUUAACGGGUGACUGCCUGGGAAUACCAGGUUCUGUAGGCA
rnacentral:rRNA from 12 species